AUUGAACGCUGGCGGCAGGCCUAACACAUGCAAUUCGAACGAGUGGCGGACGGGUUAGUAAUGUCUGGGAAACUGCCCGAUGGAGUGGGCUAACUACUGGAAACGGUAGCUAAUACCGCAUCCCAUCGGAUGUGCCCAGAUGGGAUUAGCUAGUAGUUGGGGUAAAGGCUCACCAAGGCGACCAUCCCUAGCUGGUCUGAGAGGAUGACCAGCCAAACUGUAACUGAGACACGGUCCAGACUCCUACGGGAGGCAGCAGUGGGGAAGAUUGCACAAUGGGCGCAAGCCUGAUGCAGCCAUGCCGCGUGUAUGAAGAAGGCCUUCGGGUUGUAAAGUACUUUCAGCGAGGAGGCGUUACUCGCAGAAGAAGCACCGGCUAACUCCGUGCCAGCAGCCGCGGUAAUUC
rnacentral:rRNA from 1 species